CAGAGGUAGGCACUGAUAUGCGUCGGGAGUGCGUGAGAGACAUUUGGUUGGCAUUUACGCAGUAUAGUAGUAGAUGGGAAGUUGGCUCAAAGUGUCAUUCAGAAGUAUUGGCGGCGUGUGUGACGUAGAUAAUGAUGAUUUAUGGGGUUGGCUGUGAACGUGUGCGACCGGACUGGAUGAUCACUGUGUACUUUUGGCCGUUUAUUGGGCGCAGAUGUGUGAGAACGUGUGGUGCAUAAUUGAGCGUUAAAACUUGAAAUGGCUCGCGGGAGCGUGUAUAUUUAGAAUAGAUUAGCGCGCGGGAUAUUUGCCAAUACUAUCACUGCGUGGAUCCUAGAUAGAGAAAAGCUGGACCCUCCCCCUUUGUUUUCCUCUCUUUUGCCCCUCUUGUCUCAUCUUUCAGAGAUGAUCAACGUGGUGGAGUGUCAGUGAACACAGCGAAGCGAUGGAGAGAUGCUCCAUCGCUCCUGUCGCACGACUGACCGCCCUCGUCUCCCUCGUCCUGGUCGCCCUGGUGACGCAGCCCUCCACCUGUCACCGUGACGACGAGGGCGAGGACCGGGUGGACGCCCUCUCGGUCCAGUUGUCCGUCACCACCCAGGUGACGCCCACCCCUCUUUGGGCGGUGGUCUGGGGGCCCACGCAGCCCCUGGAAGAUGAGACCUACCACCUCCUUUCCAGCCAGGAAACGGAGCACCUGCGCCAGCACGGGAGCCAGCAGGAGGCCAGCACCGCUGCUGUCGUUUCCUCUGAGGAUUGGCUGUACCCUGACGCCAUCACGCAUCCUGAAGAGGAGGCGCCCCCGGAGUCGUGGAACCGAGAGGGCGUUGAGGACAGAGGGACGGACGAGGCUGAGCUGGAGGAAGUGGACCCUCAGUUCUACGUCACUGUGACCAUCUCCUCGCUGCUUAUCCUCACUGCAAUCAUCAUCACGGCCAAACUCUGUUACGAUCGCAACUGUUCCCGGCACCCGCCCCCGCUCUCCCGUGGCGUUGCCCCGCCCCUCUCCCGCGCGCUGCCGUGCUCCCUGGCUUCUGAGGAGAGCCGCCAGACGCUGCACAGCACCUCCUCCUCCUUCGCCGACCGCGAGAGGUAACGACUCGCUUAAGAAAGUGUGCAUCAACCUCCUGUCUUUGUGCCAUCUUGUGAGUGGACAGAGGCGCUUGUGUUCUCCGAGGAGCAUUCGAUCCCGGUUGUGAACCUCUGAGGUGGCUCUUUUCCAUAUGGUGAACACUUCCACGGAGCCUCCAGAAUUUUUUGUUUCGUCUGCCUGCGGCAGCGUUUUUCAUUUUCUGUGAAAUACGUUCAGGGACCGCAGGUAUUCAAACCGCCACGCAAACCUCUUGGCUUCCCUGAGGUCUUAAACCUAAACUCAUCAUGCCCGCCUCUUUCUUUUCUUCCUUCCUUCCCUCCCCGUGUGCUCGGUGUAAAUUUCCUCUGUGCGGCUGUCACGGUCCUGAGCUGUGCCUAGCGCGGACUCGCCGUGACUAAUUCACAUACAAACAGUUUAACAGCCAUCCAAGCAUCCCCUUUGAGGGCCCAAUCUCGCGUCCAGUGCUUCUACUCACACAGCUACACGUCGGAAGAAUGUUCACUAUUCUCAUGCCACAAGAAUUCCGUUUUUUCUUGCUUGUAAAUCAUGGCUGUCAAAUUCAUUUUCAUCACAGGCCACAACGUAGUUAUGAUUUUAAUAAGAAAGCUGUUAUGACUGUGAAAACCUGAGAGAUGUAUGACGUACUACAUGUAUGCAAUUGCCCCUGCAUUUGAUUGUUAUUACAUUGGUGCCUUGAGAUACGAGUGACCCGACUAAUGUUUUUGUUCUAGAUACGAGCCGUCGUCCAAGUUGGUAUUGUGCUUUGAUGGGCAAGAUAAAAUUUGAUAUGCGAGCGCUAUAUGGUGGCAGUGAACGCAACACAACUUCACAACAUGCAGUCGUUUGGUAGCUAGUGAACACUUUAUCAAAAAAGAGGCUUCAAGCUGUUUAUGCCACUCCCAGUUGAAAUUUUCUGUCAAACAUAAAGCUAAUUCAACAUUGUGUUUUUAUAACAACAACAUAACUUUAUAACAAUACUCAUAGUCAUAUAUUCUUUAUCCUCUGCAAAAAAAAGACGAAUUAUUACUGAAGAUUACUGAGUCACUUGCAGUAGUUGAGUGAAACUCUUCUUAGUUUGUCUGCAUGACUAUUAUACUGCUGCCUGGGGGCUCGGUCGUGCAUAGCCGAAGCAGCUGCGAUGAAUUAAUCGACAGUUGUGAUUUCCCGCUCUACUCUGGCGUUUUUUUUACUGCGGUCAGGCCAGCCGAAAAGUUGAAGUCAAGGCAGCCACUACAACGAUUGUUAAUAGUGUCUUACCGUGGCAUGCCGCUUCUCUGCCAACGUGCUGAGAGGGCCAUCUUCAAAUUAAAAGCUUCUUAUAAUUACUAUAUUGGACAUCGAUGCCAUUUGAAGCUUUUAUUUUGAAAUUGGCCACGUAGCACGGUGCCGGCUCUUAAUGAAGCCUUAACCUUAAGUCUUUGACACAGGUCAAAUAGUGGCGCACAGAGUCCAAAGCAAACAUGGUGAAGCAGCAUUUAGCUAUUAUGCUGCACACAAAUGGAAUAAGUCGCCAACAGAAGUGACGUCAGCCCCAAGUGUGCAUGUUUUUAAGUCCAGGUUAAACACUUUUUUUCUCAUGCUUUUUAGAGCAUUUCCACUUUUAAAUAUUUCUUGCACUGUACGCUGUUUGAAUUGUGCAUUUAUUUUUUUCUUUGUUUUAAGUGUUCAUAAGCUGUUUUUUUCCUUUGUUUUUAAAUGCUUUUAAUCAUGUGAAGCACAUAAAUAUAUGCGCUAUAUAAAUAAAUUUGCUUUGCUUCGCUUAACCAUACGUUCGCCCCCUGGUGGCCGGCUGACUCGGUUGCGGGCACUACGGCAAAUGAAACAAUUUUUAUAUGCAGCAGUGCCUGCAUUUUACAUGUAAAAAAAUUGCCAACUGUCAGGCUCAUUUAAUCGUGGCAGCCAAAAUUGUAGUCAUGAUUAAAAUUUUAAGUUUUGAGUUAUGAGCAUGGUCACUGAAUGAAUUACACUCGUAACUGAGCGCACCAAUGUACAGUAUCUAUAUACAGUAUAAAAAUAAAUAAAUAUACUGUACACAAAUUAGAUUGGAAAUCAGAAGUGAUGGAAAAUUGUGGAAAAAAAUAUUCAAGUACAAUAAGGCGACAGAGGAACGCCCCUUCUAAAAGGGAUUGUAAUUGCCUAAAGAUGCCACAAGAUGGCGGCAAAGUACUACUUUUCUAAAUGAGCGCCUCAAUUUACUUUCAUCAUCUUUUUUUUUUUUUUUUUUUUGGUACCAAGAUGCAAAUAGGUGAGCUCUUAGCAAAUAACAGAGGACGAAGAAAAUCUGAAAAAAAUUUGUUUUCAAGUAACGUUAAGAGAGGUUUUUUGGUAGGGAAAAUGCUUGUAAUAUUUGUUAAAAGUGAAGAAAAUUGCAAUUUCUGAACAGAUUUUUUGCCAAAUGAAAAAGAAAAAAAUCCACUUCGUUUAUUGGGCCACAUAAAAUGAUGUGGCGGGCCGUAUCUGGCCCCCGGGCCUAGAGUUUGGACCGUCACGUUGUAAAUCCAUCCUUCAUCGAGCGUCGGCAUCACCAAACAAGGAUUGUGGUAUUUCACAAAGCUGUUUAGCGGGGCUUUAGCCAACAGGCAAUGUGUUUAACAUGUCACGCUCCAAAAAUGCUCCCUGCUUCAAGCCUCGGAAAAAAUGCUAAUUCGUUGUGUGUGUGUUAGUUUUUUUUCAUGAUUUGUUUACUUAAUUAUCUGGCAUUCACCUCUUUAUUCACACUGAGGUGCGAAGAGCGUGACACUGCUUUCUCCAAAAUAUUCACCACCUGAAUGGCUCUUUGAGCAACCAAUCCAAAAGGGAUUUUUUUUGUCUUUGUGUUCACUUGACAACAGAGACAGAUUUAUGUCGUCAUGGAGAGCCAAGGACUACCGCAACAUGGAUUAUAUCUUACUUUUCCCCCCCCCCUGACAGGUAUUGCAUUGUGGAAAUAACAACCAUCAUCUGCCUUCACAUCUAAUCACUGUACAUCAUUCGAAAGAGGCACCAAAGGAACUUCCAAGGGAACGUUCAUGUCGCCCGCAUCAUAACAGUCAAAUGUAUUAUUUAUAAAUGUCUAUUUUACCUAUCGGCUUGUGACGUCUUAUAGAACCUUGCAGAGACGAGCGUCAUGAGUUGUCUUCGAUGAAACUUUUCUAAGCGGCAUUCUGACGACGUUAUGUGGACAAAAGUAUUGAGACACUUGUCCAUUUGAACCGUGUGUUUAUUUCUAUUGUGCAAGGUGGUGGUUAUCAUUAAUAACCUGGUAAGUGUGGUAAGCUUUUUGAGCAUUUCUUUGAAAUGUUUGAGAUACGUUUAAAGGUCCAUGUACUAGUAGUAGUAUGCAUGGUACUAGGUACAGUCUGUCCUUACUCGUAAAAUUCAGCACACUAGUAGAAUGGCGGAAGUAGUGUUACUAGUGCAGCGCCGUAGUUUACUAGACCUUAAGUUGAAUAACACGGAUACCUAAAAAUGAUACGAGUGAGGAAAAACCUGUGCACUAGUUGACAAAUGUGUGCUACUAGUCCUACUAGUUAACAUUUAGUGCCUCACCAAUAGUACUGGGAGGGAGCAGAUGUCAACGAUUGCAGUUUUGCCUCCCUAUUAAUAUGUAGUUUAGGGCCUGACACAGAUGGAUUUUUUUAAAGACGAUUCCGAUAUUUGGCAUAGUAAAAUUCCGUUAGCCGAUUAAUCGGCGGAUUAAUUAAAAACAUAUAUAAUGAAUAAAAUGAUUUUUUUUGGUCCCUUAACACUUACAACAAUAAAGAUAUGAAUUACAUGCAGAACAUUUGACUGUUUUACAAUACUUUGGCCUUUAGUAUUUGUUUAACUUGACAAGAGAUUUUUGCCGAUUUUUAAAAAAUGUUGGCCUGAAUGUCACUAUGUGUGUGUGUGUGUGGAUAUAUAUAUAUAUAUAUAAAAUAUAUAUAUAAUAUUUGCCAAUUUUUGCCUAUUUGAAAAGAGCUAAUAUCGGCCGGCCGAUUAAUCGGUCGGGCCCUAAUGUAGUUAUCCUAUUAGUGUGCAGAAAUGUCAUACAGCAGUGGAAAAACGUUAUAAGUAAGAAAGUUGCAGUGUGCAUGUCUUAUUAGUGAGUACUAGUACAUGGAGUGUACUAGUACAUGGACCUUAAGAUGGAUGUCAAGGCUAUGGAAUAAAUAGUCAAACGGCUUUCCAUGGUGUUCACUUCCUGAUGUUCCAAUACUUUUGUCCUGAUAGUUUGCCAUUUCUCCCACUACAAGCGUUGUGCUGGUGACGUCAUGUGUGGCUCGUGCACAUAUCAAGUCUCGUGGUUUUUAGUACAACUCCUGUAGGACUAUGGUCUUUCUGUACCAUGCAAGUUCAAUAAAAGACAACACUGGUGUUUUAAA